GGAUGGCGUCACCAACGUGAUGGACAUGAGUUUGAGUAAGCUCCAGGAGUUGGUGAUGGACAGGGAUGCCUGGCAUGCUGCAGUCCAUGGGGUUGCAAAGAGUCAGACAUGACUGAGUGACUGAACUAACCCAAAGCAAUCUACAAAUUUGAUAUGAUUUUUGUCAAAUUACCCAGGAUAUUUUUCACAGAACUGGAACAAAUAAUCCUAAAACUUAUGUGGAACCAUAAAAGACCCAGAAUUUCCAAUGGAAUCCUGAAGAAAAGAACAAAAUAGGAGGCAUAACCCUCCCAGACUUCAGAUAAUACAACAAAGUUACAGUAAUCAAAACAGUGUGGUAUUGGGAUUUCCCUUGUGGUUCAGUGGUUAAGAAUCCACCUGCCAAUGCAGGGGACAUGGGUUUGAUUCCUGGUCUGGGAAGAUCCCACAUGUGCUCGGAGCAACUAAGCCCAUGCACCACAAUUACUGAUGCCUGCACGCCUAGACCCUGUGCUCUGCAACAAGAAAAGCCACUGCAAUGAGAAACCUGUGCACUGCAAUGAAGAGUAGCCCCUGCUCACUGCAACUAGAGAAGGCCUGCAGGCAGCAAUAUAGAUCCAGCACAGCCAAAAAUAACAAAUAGAUAAAUACAUUUUUAAAAACAGCAACAGUGUGGUAUUGACAUAAGAGCAGACAUAUGGAUCAAUGAAACAGAACAGAGAGCCCAUAAAUAACCCCACACAGCUAUGGGCAGUUAAUAUUUGACAAAGAAGGCAAGAAUAUGCAAUGGAGAAAAAACAGUCUCUUUAGCAAGUGGUGUUGGGAAAGCUGGACAGCGGGAUGCAAAUGAAUGAAAAGAGAGCAUAGACAAAACAUUCUCUAGACAUAAAUUGUAGCAAUUUUUUCUUAGGUCAGUCUCCCAAGGCAAUGGAAAUAAAAGCAAAAAAUAAACAAAUGGGACCUAAUAAAGGAAGUUAUAAAUAAAAGGAAAAGUCAGCCUAUGGACUAGGAGAAAAUAUUUGCAAACGAUGAGACUGACAAAGGCUUAAUUUCCAAAAUAUACAAACGACUCACACAACUCAACAGCAACAACAAUAACAACAACAAAUGCAAGCAAAAAAUAGAACAACUAAAUAUAUAUCCCUUUUCCAGGGGAACUUCCCAACCCAGGAAUUGAACUGAGGUCUCCUGCAUUGCAGGCAGAUUCUUACCAGCUAAGCUACCAGGGAAGCCCAAAGAAGAUAAUACGGAUGGCCAAUAGGCACAUGAAAAGAUGCUCAACAUUGCUAAUUAUUUGGAAAAAAAAAAGGCAAAUCAAAUACAAGGUACCACCUAACACUAGGCAGAAUGUCCAUCAUUAAAAAGUCUAUAAAUAACAAAUGCUGGAGAGUGUGUGGAGAAAAGGGAACCUUCCUACACUGUUGGUGGGAAUAUAAAUGGGUUCAGCCACUAUGGAAUGUAGGAUGGUGAUUCCUCAAAAAACUAAAAAUAGAGUUAUAUCAUUCAGCAAUCCCACUCCUGGGCAUAUACCCAGAUAAAACUGUAAUUCAAAAAGAUACAUGCACCACUGUGUUCACAGUAGUAGUAUUUACAAGAACCAAGACAUGGAAACAACAUAAGUGUCCACUGACAGAUGAAUGGGUAAAGAAGAUGUGGUGUACAUAUAUAUAUAUAAUGGAAUACUACUUAGCUAUAAAAAAUGUUUUAAAUAAUGCCACUUGCAGCAACCUAGAGAUUAAUCAUACUAAGGGAAGUCAGUCAGAAAGACAGAUACCGUAUUAUACAUUUGUACGUGGAAUCAUAGCACAAAUGAACUUAUUGACGGAGCAGAAACAGGUUCACAGACAUACAGAACAGACUUGUGAUUUCCAAGGGGAAGGAGAGGAGGGGAAGGGAUGGCUUAGGAGUUUGGGAUUAGUAGGUACAAACUAUUAUACAUGCAUGUAUUACUGAAUCACUUUGCAGUAUGCCAGAAACGUAACACAACAUUGUUAAGUCAACUGUAAAUGAAAUACAUUUAAAAAAUAUUAAAAAAAGAACAGAGCUCCAUGGGGGCCCAGGGCCUGGUCCAUCAUGGGUUCUCAGGAAGUAGGGGACCAGCUAACCCUAGUGUGCCAAAUACAGUCCUGGGAGCACUGGAAGUCCCACAUCCCAGAAAAUAGCCUAGUCCUGGGCAAACCAGGACUACUUGUCCCCCUGUUAGUGUGGUAGUGAAUGAAUAAAUGCCCAAGUCACUCAACAUACAUAUUGUAAGACUCAGUGAACUGAGCCCCAUGCUCGUUCCUUCGCAGGACAUUUCUGUAACAGGAGGGAAAGGGGCAGGUUUGUGGUAAACAGAUUCAUUUCUACAGAGCCCAGCCUCUCUUCCAAACAGCACCACUGCUCAACAUUGCAAAGGGAUGAGUCUUCCCUGUUGAAUGAGCAUUAAGUCCAUUAGGCACCUUUCCUUGCCCCUUGUUUAUCUUCCUGGCUAUCUCUUCUGGCAAGUAGCUACACUGUUAACAAGGUAUCUGUUGACAUCUGCCUUAUCUUUCCGGAUUUGCCCUGGGUCUCUCUGGGUCUGCUGCCUUCCGAAAGGAUGAGCCCUUUAGCCCCACAGUUGAAUUCUUUUCUAAGUCAGAAGGUCCAUGCUAGAGCUUUGGUGUUUCCUGGACUUCCCUGGUGGCUCAGAUGGUAAAGCAUCUGCCUACAAUGCGGGAGGCCCGGGUUCGAUCCCUGGGUCGGGAAGAUCCCCUGGAGAAGGAAAUGGCAACCCACUCCAGUACUCUUGCCUGGAAAAUCCCAUGGAAAAUCCCAGGAGUGUGGUAGGCUACAGUCCAUGGGGUUGCAAAGAGUCGGACACGACUGAGCAAUUUCACUUUCACUUUCACACAGACUCCAGCCCCAGGCCCUCAGAACAGAAGGAUUGCAGCCUGGCCCUCAGACCCUAGGCAGCUUGGACCCAUCUGUUUUCCAGUUCUAGGUGAAAUCAAGCUGAGAAGGAAUCAGGCUUCAUUUGACCUGAGAUGUCUGUGGCAUCUGGCUGGCUCCUCCAUCCCACCUCUUCCCCAUCCUGGCCAAAUAAGCUGAAAUACCCCACCCACUUUGGUGGGCUUUCAGGGAUGCUGUCUCUCCUGAAGCUUCUGGGAAAUGUGACCCCAUAGAUGCCACAAAGACAGACACAUCUGCCUUGAAUCCCAGCUCGGUCAUUUAACUGGGUGAUUUCAGUCAUCAAAAUACAGGAAAAUGGAUGUUGGGGCUUCUGAUGGGACUGAGGUCCUGGGAGCUGCCACACAGAAUGGACACAGUGACAACCAGAGAAAAAUUGGUUGAUGCUGAGUGCUCCAGGAGGUCUUCUGAGUCAGGGUAUGAUUGUCUCCACACUUGAGAAAGAGUUUUCAGCUCCUGUUACUGCCAUUCCAGAAACCUGGGUUGUCAUGGAGGAGCCCAUGCUGGGAACCAUUGAGCCCUAAGUGUCCUUCUCAACACCUCUGAGCCCACUGACCAAGCCGUGGGAACAAGUAGUAUUGAGAGUUGGACAAUAAAGAAGAUUGAACACCAAAGAAUUGAUGCUUUGGAAUUGUGGUGCUCGAGAAGACUCUUGAGUAUCUCCUGGAGAGCAAACAAGUCAAUUCUAAAAGAAAUCAACCCUGAAUAUUCACUGGAAGAACUGAUGCUAAAGCUGAAGUUCCAAUACUUUGGCCACCUGAUGCAAAGAGUCGAUUCAUUGGAAAAGACCCUGAUGCUGGGAAAGACUGAGGGCGAGAGGAGAAAGGGGAACAAAGGAUCAGAUGGUUGAAUGGCAUCAGGAACUCAAUGGACAUGAAUCUGAACAAACUCCAGGAGAUAGUAAAGGACAGGGAAACCUGGUGUGCUCCAGUCCAUGGGAUUCCAAAGAGCUGGACAUGACUUAGCAACUGAACAACAAAAGCAUACUUCAAUUUAAAAAAAUAAACAAACAAAAGCAAACAGAUCCCUUUGACUGGCAUCUCUCAGCCAGGGAAGGCUGCCUAGUCCUAGGCAUAAAGCUUCAGAAUAGUAUUGUUAAUAGAAUAGCUCAGAUAUGGUGGUGAGUCCCAAAGAAGGGAUCAGAGGGUUCUUGCAAAUUCAGAGGCACCCUGGUUAGCUUGUCAGUAACCUUCUUCAUUUGCUGUUUUACAAAGCGCUUGUAUAGCCAUAUGUCAUGAUACCAUCAGAGACAAGUAGAGAAGGUGUUUCCUCCCCUGGAAAUGACCUUCACCACUCACCUGGCUGGCAUAGUCCCACUCAUUUAUCUUGCAAGACCCAGGGCAAAUGGUUUUCCUUCUCUGCAGACUUCUCCAACUGAACUCCUCUAAAGUGGUCCCAGCAUCCCUUCUGCCAUAUGCUAUGCUUGAAACAUUAUGUCUUAUCAUGUCUGUCUCUCCUGUGGGCAAAGCUGUUCAUCACCCAUCACUGGAUCCUCAGAGCUGCUGCAGUAUCUUCCACCUAGAAGGUAUUCUGGAAGCAUUGAGUGAGUAAGUGGGAGGAGACAGAGACCAAUUUAUUAAGAAAAAACGGCAGAGGCAUUUAUUUUAAGUGGGGCAUUUAUGAGGCAGUUAGGGAAACACUAAUUAGGCCAAAUUAGUGGGUGGUCUGCAGGGUCCAAACAUUGCAUUGGGGAUGUUAAGUGGCUUUAGUGUGGUCUAUGUGUCCGAGGUUGUCAUUUCCAUGGAUCAAGUGGGGACAGUAUUAACACACUGUGAAAUAAAAUUUGUAUUUUAUGGCUCCCAUCACUGUGGAUUGUGUAUCUGAUUUAUACCUCAACCAAACUCUCCCAUCCGCAGAAAUACCUGCUCAACCCUAAAGAGCAACCAUUCUGUUAGCAUCAACAAGACAACUGUUUAAAAGAUAAACUACCAGGCUUCCCUGGUGGCUCAGUAUUAGAGAAUCUGCCUGCCAAUGCAGGAGACACAGAUUUGAUCCCUGGUCUGGGAAGAUUCUACUCGCCACGGAGCAACUAAGCCCAUGAGCCACAACUACUGAGCCAAUGUAUCACAACUCCUGAAGCCCUCACAUCCUGGAGCCUGUGCUCCACAGCAAGAAAAGCCACUGCAAUGAGAAGUUGGUGCACCGCAACUAGAGAGUAGCCCCUGCUGGCUGCAACUAGAGAAAGGCCCGUGCAGCAACAAAGACCCAGCACAGCCAAAAAAACCCUAAAUAUUAUUUUUAAAAAAAGACUAACUUGUUGAUUUUGUAAGGGGUCACAUGGCCCACUACUUUAUACUUGUGGAUUUGAAUUGUGUAAAUUGUCGGUAAUACAUCAUUUGAUGUACAGCCCUCUGUCUCAAAAAACUUAAAUAAAUGUGCUUUGACUUCUAUUGGGCAGAACAGUUCUUGGAACUUUUUGAGAUGCUGUUGCUAUAUUCUUUUGUAGAUUGACUGAUUAACUUUUUGUCAACAACACAGAUUCUGACUUAGUAGAUCUGGAGCCAGGAUCCCUAAGCAUCUGUGCACACUUGGAGGAUGAGUCCUUACGUCCUCUCCAGAACCCCACUGCAAUGUGUGCAACAAAGUUGCUGCUAGCAAGGUACUUCCACCUAACUGUACUGCAUGGUUUAUGUUAUUUAAAAGACCCAGUUCUGGAAAAUGUAUUUGUGGACAAAGAAUACCAUUUCAGAGAGUCCCUUGCACAGUAAGGAGAUCAAACCAGUGAAUCCUAAAGGAAAUCGGUCCUGAAUAUUCAUUGGAAGGACUGAUGCUGAAGCUGAAGCUCCAAUACUUCGGCCACCUGAUGCGAAGAGCCAACUCAUUGGAAAAGACCCUGAUGCUUUUCAGGGAGAGGUUGAGGGCAGGAGGAGAAGAGGGUGACAGAGGAUGAGAUGGUUGGAUGGCAUCAUUAACUCAAUGGACAUCCUUGAUUCAGUGGACAUCCUUGACUCAAACAUAAGUUUGAGCAAACUCCAGGAGAUAGUGAAGGACAGGGAAGGCUGGCAUGCUGCAGUCCAUGGGGUCACAGUCAGACACAACUGAGCAACUCAUCAACAAAAAACAAAAGAUGUUGUGGCCACAAAACCAUCAGCCACCACAGUUGCCCCAGAGGUGCACACUGAAGGGAACUGGAGAAAAACAGGAUAAUGAUCCCAGAUAGUUAAGGUGCAUAUCAAAGGAGUACUUUCAAUGAACCCAGGCUCUUGCCUCUUCCCAUACAUAGAAAAG
ensembl:lncRNA